rnacentral:rRNA from 1 species
UACGGGGGGGGCAAGCGUUGUUCGGAAUUACUGGGCGUAAAGGGCUCGUAGGCGGCCAACUAAGUCCGACGUGAAAUCCCCAAGCUUAACUUGGGAACUGCGUCGGAUACUGGAUGGCUUGAAUUCGGGAGAGGGAUGCAGAAUUCCAGGUGUAGCGGUGAAAUGCGUAGAUAUCUGGAGGAAUACCGGUGGCGAAGGCGGCAUCCUGGACCGAUAUUGACGCUGAUGAGCGAAAGCUAGGGGAGCAAACGGG